AACGAUAGCACGGGGUGCCUGCAAAGGCUGAGAUUAUACCCGCUACCUGAUUUGGAUAAUGCCAACGUAGGGAUGCACUUAAGAGCGAUA
rnacentral:ncRNA from 1 species